GUGUCAGCAGCCGCGGUAAUACGUAGGAGACGAGCGUUAUCCGGAUUUACUGGGCGUAAAGAGGGCGUAGGCGGUCUUUCAAGUCGGAUGUGACAUCUCCCGGCUUAACCGGGAGGGGUCAUUCGAUACUGUUGGGCUAGAGGGCAGCAGAGGGAGGUGGAAUUCCCGGUGUAGUGGUGAAAUGCGUAGAUAUCGGGAGGAACACCAGUGGCGAAGGCGGCCUCCUGGGCUGUUUCUGACGCUGAGGCCCAAAAGCGUGGGGAGCGAACAGGAUUAGAUACCCUGGUAGUCCACGCUGUAAACUAUGGACACUAGGUAUGGGGAGUAUCGACCCUUUCCGUGCCGAAGCUAACGCUUUAAGUGUCCCGCCUGGGGACUACGGCCGCAAGGCUAAAACUUAAAUGAAUUGGCGGGG
rnacentral:rRNA from 1 species